GGCUUCUGUCUCAUGGGGCUCUGUUGGGGCGCAGGGGUGUCCCUUUUCUCCUCGGCCAGGACUGGAGGCCAAGAUCAGCUCUUGAGGGUGGCCGUCAUGGCUGCAACGUGUCGGGUAGCCUUGUUUUCCUCCGUGAGACUUUU
ensembl:scaRNA